rnacentral:rRNA from 1 species
CAAUAGCGUAUAUUAAAGUUGUUGCAGUUAAAAAGCUCGUAGUUGGAUUUGUGGCGUACGGUGUGUUCCGGGCACUUGUUGUCUGAGUAACCUGCUGUUGCCAUCCUCGGGUGGAACCUGUGUGGCAUUAGGUUGUCGUGCAGGGGAUGCCCAUCAUUUACUGUGAAAAAAUUAGAGUGUUCAAAGCAGGCUUAUGCCGUUGAAUAUAUUAGCAUGGAAUAAUGAGAUAGGACUUUUUUGCUAUUUUGUUGGUUUGCGCAAGAAGGUAAUGAUUAAUAGGGACAGUUGGGGGUAUUCGUAUUCCAUUGUCAGAGGUGAAAUUCUUGGAUUUUUGGAAGACGAACUACUGCGAAAGCAUUUACCAAGGAUGUUUUCAUUAA